CGUAGGGUGCAAGCGUUAAUCGGAAUUACUGGGCGUAAAGCGUGCGCAGGCGGUUAUAUAAGACAGAUGUGAAAUCCCCGGGCUCGACCUGGGAACUGCAUUUGUGACUGUAUAGCUAGAGUACGGUAGAGGGGGAUGGAAUUCCGCGUGUAGCAGUGAAAUGCGUAGAUAUGCGGAGGAACACCGAUGGCGAAGGCAAUCCCCUGGACCUGUACUGACGCUCAUGCACGAAAGCGUGGGGAGCAAACAGGAUUAGAUACCCUGGUAGUCCACGCCCUAAACGAUGUCAACUGGUUGUUGGGUCUUCACUGACUCAGUAACGAAGCUAACGCGUGAAGUUGACCGCCUGGGGAGUACGGCCGCAAGGUUG
rnacentral:rRNA from 1 species